rnacentral:tRNA from 1 species
GCGGGUGUAGCACAAUGGUAGUGCAUUUGGUUGCCAAUCAAAGUACGUGGGUCCGAUUCCCAUCACCCGCUCAA